rnacentral:misc_RNA from 1 species
GGAAGGAUCAUUAUUCUCUGUUACUUUUGUUUCUGCUUACGAAAGGCAACGGACAUCCGACUUGUCGAGGUAUCGGUGAACUUGUAGGCUUUGCUAGAUACCUAUUGAGAUUGAUGGCAAGUUGGGUUAAGUUGGCCUUCCUUUUUUGCUUAGGCGUAGAAAUGCCGCUGAGGAUGGCAAUGGGGUAAAUUCUCACGGCUAUUUACAAUGGAUUACUCGGCUCUUCUAACGAUGAAGGACAUGGCAAAAUGUGAUAACUAAUAGGAAUUGCAGGAUAACAUGACUCAUCAAAACUUUGAAUGCAAAUCGCAUCGACUUGAGCUGGGAAACCAGCGCUUGUUCGAUGUGUGCAUAGAGUUCCGUACCUACAUCAAUCACCAAUGGUGGAAUCGGAGUAAAGUCUUUAUUGAUUUUUCUCUUUGGAUGUGCUAUGGAUAGUAAGCUCUGAUCCACGGGAAGGAGCGAAAGCGAUGGAGAGGCUUGAUCACCUCAAAGUUUUUUUCGUGAGCUCUUGUUGGCGGUCAGUAGUUUGCAGGAGUAGAGUUAUAGCAGGGAAAGUCUUGACUCUGGCUAUAACGUUAAAUUGCUAAACCACGGACUCUGUGUACCACGAUCACUCCCCGAACUUAAGCAUAUCAUUAGGGGAAGGAAAAGAAAUCAACGGAGAUUCCCCUAGUAACUGCGAGUGAAGAGGGAAUAGCCCACGCCGAAUCCCCCUUGGGUAACCAUUGGGGAGCUGUAGCGUAUCAACCUGAUCAGACAAACCGAAGCCAGCAGAAAUUAGUUGGAAGACUAUGCCACAGAGGGUGAUAGCCCCCGUACGCUGGUCCGAGGGGAGUCAUAAUGAUCAGGAUUGUUGAGUCGGACUAUUUGAGAGUAUAGUCCUAAGCGGGUGGUAAAUUCCAUCCAAGGCUAAAUACAAAAGAAGAGACCGAUAGCAAACAAGUACCGUGAGGGAAAGUUGCAAAGUACUUUGAAAAGAGAGUUAAAAGCACAUGAAUUGUAAAUAGCAUGUAAGCAAUUGGCACCGUUUUCUAGGUGAGUGAAAUCAGCGCCCUUAUGAAGGUGUGGGAAUUGGAUGGAUUGGCGGUAACUCGCUAACCGGACUGUUCUCAUGCUGAAGUAAGGGAGUGCACUUUCGCUUGCCGUAUAGACCCUUCGUUUACUUUGUGAUGGGAAUAGGCCCUUUUGGAGGUAGCCCUUGUAACAGAGGGUGAUGCUGAUUGGGAGUAAAACCAACUAUGAGGUAGUUAUCCUUAACGGAGAUUUGACAUGCGUACUCAGUUAACUAUUGGGGGUAGUGAGGCGAAACUAUGCACGCACGCAAAACGGGUGACUCCGGGUUGCGGGUGGGUAGCAGUUACUUUGCUAAAUCUAAUAGCUGCAUUCGUCAAUCGAAGGUAAUGGUUCUAAUUGUCCCGUCUUGAAACACGGACCAAGGAGUUCAUUUGUUAUGCGAGCUUAAGGGCCUGAAAGCCUGGAGGCGAAGCGAAAGCAAUACUUGUCAACCCGAGGCUAUAUUAUAGCUGAAGGCGCAGCAAGGGCCGGUGGGUUGAUUUAUCAACUCGUCCGCGUCUUAGUAUAACGAAUGAGACCCGAAAGAUAGCGAACUAUGCCUGUGUAGAACGAAGCCAGAAGAAAUUCUGGUGGAAGUUCGUAGCGGUAUUGACGUGCAAAUCAUUCGUCAAACAUGGGUAUAGCGGCGAAAGGACUAAUCGAGCUAUCUAGUAGCUGGUUCCAC